rnacentral:rRNA from 1 species
GGCGGCGUGCUUAACACAUGCAAGUCGAACGAUGAACCACUUCGGUGGGGAUUAGUGGCGAACGGGUGAGUAACACGUGGGCAAUCUGCCCUUCACUCUGGGACAAGCCCUGGAAACGGGGUCUAAUACCGGAUAACACUCUGUCUGCAUGGGACGGGGGUUAAAAGCUCCGGCGGUGAAGGAUGAGCCCGCGGCCUAUCAGCUUGUUGGUGAGGUAAUGGCUCACCAAGGCGACGACGGGUAGCCGGCCUGAGAGGGCGACCGGCCACACUGGGACUGAGACACGGCCCAGACUCCUACGGGAGGCAGCAGUGGGGAAUAUUGCACAAUGGGCGAAAGCCUGAUGCAGCGACGCCGCGUGAGGGAUGACGGCCUUCGGGUUGUAAACCUCUUUCAGCAGGGAAGAAGCGAAAGUGACGGUACCUGCAGAAGAAGCGCCGGCUAACUACGUGCCAGCAGCCGCGGUAAUACGUAGGGCGCAAGCGUUGUCCGGAAUUAUUGGGCGUAAAGAGCUCGUAGGCGGCUUGUCACGUCGAUUGUGAAAGCCCGAGGCUUAACCUCGGGUCUGCAGUCGAUACGGGCUAGCUAGAGUGUGGUAGGGGAGAUCGGAAUUCCUGGUGUAGCGGUGAAAUGCGCAGAUAUCAGGAGGAACACCGGUGGCGAAGGCGGAUCUCUGGGCCAUUACUGACGCUGAGGAGCGAAAGCGUGGGGAGCGAACAGGAUUAGAUACCCUGGUAGUCCACGCCGUAAACGGUGGGCACUAGGUGUUGGCGACAUUCCACGUCGUCGGUGCCGCAGCUAACGCAUUAAGUGCCCCGCCUGGGGAGUACGGCCGC